rnacentral:rRNA from 1 species
UACGUAGGUGGCAAGCGUUGUCCGGAAUUAUUGGGCGUAAAGCGCGCGCAGGCGGUCCUUUAAGUCUGAUGUGAAAGCCCACGGCUCAACCGUGGAGGGUCAUUGGAAACUGGGGGACUUGAGUGCAGGAGAGGAGAGUGGAAUUCCUAGUGUAGCGGUGAAAUGCGUAGAUAUUAGGAGGAACACCAGUUGCGAAGGCGGCUCUCUGGACUGUAACUGACGCUGAGGCACGAAAGCGUGGGGAGCAAACAGG